rnacentral:rRNA from 1 species
UGGGGAAUAUUGCACAAUGGAGGGAACUCUGAUGCAGCGACGCCGCGUGAGUGAUGAAGGAAUUCGUUUCGUAAAACUCUGUUCUAUGGGAAGAAAAGGACUGUACCAUAGGAGAAAGCUCCGGCUAAAUACGUGCCAGCAGCCGCGGUAAUACGUAUGGAGCGAGCGUUGUCCGGAAUUAUUGGGCGUAAAGGGUGCGCAGGCGGCUUUACAAGUUGGAUGUGAAAUAUUGUGGCUCAACCACAAACGUGCAUCCAAAACUGCAAAGCUUGAGUUAAGGAGAGGUAAGUGGAAUUCCUGGUGUAGCGGUGGAAUGCGUAGAUAUCAGGAGGAAUACCGGUGGCGAAGGCGACUUACUGGACUUAAACUGACGCUCAGGCACGAAAGCGUUGGGAGCAAACAGG